GUGGCAGUAGCUCAUCGGUAGAGCCUUCGCCUAUUAUGCAGAUAGAUGCGGGUUCAACUUCCGGCUGCUUCG
rnacentral:tRNA from 1 species